GGAGCGGUGGCUGAGUGGUCGAAAGCGCCGGUUUGCUAAAUCGGUGACCCGGGCAACUGGGUCCGCAGGUUCGAAUCCUGUCCGCUCCGCUA
rnacentral:tRNA from 1 species